AGCGAACGCUGGCGGCGUGCCUAACACAUGCAAGUCGAGCGAAGGCAUGAGUGUAGCAAUACACUUAUGUACUUAGCGGCGGACGGGUGAGUAACACGUGGAUAAUCUGCCCUGGGGACCGGGACAACUCUUGGAAACGGGAGCUAAUACCGGAUGUGACCACGAUGCUUGAGGGCAUUGGGGUAAAAGGGUGGCCUGCAAGGGCUAUUGCCUUGGGGAUGAGUCACGACCCAUCAGGGUAGUUGGGGGAGGGUAA
rnacentral:rRNA from 1 species